rnacentral:rRNA from 1 species
GAUGAACGCUAGCGGCAGGCCUAAUACAUGCAAGUCGAGGGGUAGAAGAGGCUUGCUUCUUUGAGACCGGCGCACGGGUGCGUAACGCGUAUGCAACCUACCUUCAUCUGGGGGAUAGCCCGGAGAAAUCCGGAUUAAUACCGCAUAAAAUCACAGGAUGGCAUUAUCCAAUGAUCAAACAUUUAUGGGAUGGAGAUGGGCAUGCGUGUCAUUAGCUAGUUGGCGGGGUAACGGCCCACCAAGGCGACGAUGACUAGGGGAUCUGAGAGGAUGGCCCCCCACACUGGUACUGAGACACGGACCAGACUCCUACGGGAGGCAGCAGUAAGGAAUAUUGGUCAAUGGAGGCAACUCUGAACCAGCCAUGCCGCGUGCAGGAAGACUGCCCUAUGGGUUGUAAACUGCUUUUAUUCGGGAAUAAACCUUAUUACGUGCAAUAAGCUGAAUGUACCGAAGGAAUAAGGAUCGGCUAACUCCGUGCCAGCAGCCGCCGUAA